rnacentral:rRNA from 1 species
UACAGAGGGGGCGAGCGUUGUUCGGAAUUACUGGGCGUAAAGGGCGCGUAGGCGGCCUUCUAAGUCGGACGUGAAAUCCCUCGGCUCAACCGGGGAACUGCGUCCGAUACUGGAUGGCUUGAAUUCGGGAGAGGGAUGCGGAAUUCCAGGUGUAGCGGUGAAAUGCGUAGAUAUCUGGAGGAACACCGGUGGCGAAGGCGGCAAUCCUGGACCGAGAUUGACGCUGAUGCGCGAAAGCCAGGGGAGCAAACGGG